GUAGGGAAUCUUCGGCAAUGGGGGCAACCCUGACCGAGCAACGCCGCGUGAGUGAAGAAGGUUUUCGGAUCGUAAAGCUCUGUUGUAAGUCAAGAACGAGUGUGAGAGUGGAAAGUUCACACUGUGACGGUAGCUUACCAGAAAGGGACGGCUAACUACGUGCCAGCAGCCGCGGUAAUACGUAGGUCCCGAGCGUUGUCCGGAUUUAUUGGGCGUAAAGCGAGCGCAGGCGGUUUGAUAAGUCUGAAGUUAAAGGCUGUGGCUCAACCAUAGUUCGCUUUGGAAACUGUCAAACUUGAGUGCAGAAGGGGAGAGUGGAAUUCCAUGUGUAGCGGUGAAAUGCGUAGAUAUAUGGAGGAACACCGGUGGCGAAAGCGGCUCUCUGGUCUGUAACUGACGCUGAGGCUCGAAAGCGUGGGGAGCGAACAGGA
rnacentral:rRNA from 1 species